rnacentral:rRNA from 1 species
UACGUAGGGAGCAAGCGUUGUUCGGAUUUAUUGGGCGUAAAGCGCGUGUAGGCGGUCCGGUAAGUCCGCUGUGAAAGUCGGGGGCUCAACCCUCGAAUGCCGGUGGAUACUGUCGGGCUAGAGUGCGGAAGAGGCGAGUGGAAUUCCUGGUGUAGAGGUGAAAUUCGUAGAUAUCAGGAGGAACACCGGUGGCGAAGGCGGCUUUCUGGACGACAACUGACGCUGAGACGCGAAAGCGUGGGGAGCAAACAGG